rnacentral:rRNA from 1 species
GACGAACGCUGGCGGCGGGCUUAACACAUGCAAGUCGAACGGAAAGGCCCUGCUUUUGUGGUGUGCUCGAGUGGCGAACGGGUGAGUAACACGUGAGUAACCUGCCCUUGACUUUGGGAUAACUUCAGGAAACUGGGGCUAAUACCAGAUAGGAGAUCCUGCUGCAUGGUGGGGGUGGGAAAUUUUCGGCGGUCGGGGAUGGACUCGCCGCUUAUCGGCUUGUUGGUUGGGUGGUGGAUUACCAAGGCUUUGACGGGUAGCCGGCCUGAGAGGGUGCCCGGCCUCAUUGGUCCUGAGCUACGGCCCAGACUCCUACGGGAGGCAGCAGUGGGGAAUAUUGCACAAUGGGCGGAAGUCUGAUGCAGAAACGCCGCGUGCGGGAUGACGGCCUUCGGGUUGUAAACCGCUGUAGCCUGUGACGACGCGUGAGUGACGGUAAUGGGUAAAGAAGCACCGGCUAACUACGUG